GACUCAGUAGCGGACGGUACCGCACCCGCGCCGUAUAGGGAAGUGAUUCGGUCAAUCAGCGGGAAGUCUUGGUUCGAUUCCAGGCUGGGUCA